rnacentral:rRNA from 1 species
CGGGUGCACUGAUCCAGCCGGGCCUUUCCCUCUGUGGAACCCCAUGGCCUUCACUGGCUGUGGUGGGGAAACAGGACUUUUACUUUGAAAAAAUUAGAGUGCUCCAGGCAGGCCUAUGCUCGAAUACAUUAGCAUGGAAUAAUAGAAUAGGACGUGUGGUUCUAUUUUGUUGGUUUCUAGGACCGCCGUAAUGAUUAAUAGGGACAGUCGGGGGCAUCAGUAUUCAAUUGUCAGAGGUGAAAUUCUUGGAUCUAUUGAAGACUAACUACUGCGAAAGCAUUUGCCAAGGAUGUUUUCAUUGAUAAGGAACGAAAGUUAGGGGAUCGAAGACGAUCAGAUACCGUCGUAGUCUUAACUAUAAACUAUGCCGACUAGGGAUCGGACGAUGUUAUUCUUUGACGCGUUCGGCACCUUUCGAGAAAUCAAAGUGCUUGGGCUCCAGGGGGAGUAUGGUCGCAAGGCUGAAACUUAAAGAAAUUGACGGAAGGGCACCACCAGGGGUGGAACCUGCGGCUUAAUUUGACUCAACACGGGGAAACUCACCAGGUCCAGACACAGUGAGGAUUGACAGAUUGAGAGCCCUUUCUUGAUUCUGUGGGUGGCGGUGCAUGGCCGUUCUUAGUUGGUGGAGUGAUUUGUCUGCUUAAUUGCGAUAACGAACGAGACCUUAACCUGCUAAAUAGCCCGUACUGCUUUGGCAGUUCGCCGGCUUCUUAGAGGGACUAUCGG